rnacentral:rRNA from 1 species
AUGGCGGGGAGGCAGCCGGACCAUGAAGACCAACAGCGGUUGGCGGGCAACAAGCGGGGCGCCCUAAUAGUAGCGAUGAGGGAGACGGCAGCGAUGAGUCCCAUGGAUGGCCUAGCAUAUCUUGAUGGCCUACUCAACGCCUUGGCCACCGCCGACGAAGGCAAGGCCGAGGCCACUCUGGGCUACAAGGAGGCAUUUGAGGUGCAGAAGAGGCUACUGGAGUGUCAGGACGAGGCGAGGGCCCUGCAGGAGAAGGCGGAGGACUGCCUGGUUAGGAUGAAGCUCGCAGCCAAGACGGCGGAGGAGGCAUGGAACGAGGGGAAACAUCUGGAAGGCUUCGAGGCCGCCUACCUCGCCAUGAAGGUGGCACGGGAGAAGGAGGGGCUUCUGAAAGAGCGUGAGAUCCUCACCAAGAAGCUUGAGCUUGCCCGGUUGGACAGAGAGUUGGUUCUCGGCAUGAAUGUGCGGUAA